rnacentral:rRNA from 1 species
GAUGAACGCUGGCGGCGUGCCUAAUACAUGCAAGUCGAGCGAACGGACGCGAAGCUUGCUUCUCUGAUGUUAGCGGCGCGCGGGUGAAUAACACGUGGAUAACCUCCCUAUAAGACUGGGAUAACUUCGGGAAACCGGCGCUAAUCCCGGAUAAUCUUUUGCACCGCAUUGUUCGAUAGUGAAAGACGGUCUUUCUGUCACUUCUCGCUGGUUCCGCGCUGCAUUAGCUAGUUGGUAAGGUAAAGGCUUACUACGGCAACCAUGCAUAGACGACCUGAGGGAGGGAUAGGCCACCUGGGAGGUGAGACGGGGUCAUGAGUACUAAGGGAGGGCGCAGUAGGGAAUCUGACGCAAUAGGCGGAAGCCUGACGGAGCAACGCGGCGUGAGUGAUGAAGGUCCUCGGAGCGGAAAACUCGGUUAUUAGGGAAGAACAGAUGUGGAAGUAACUGUGCACAGCUUGACGGUAACGAAUCAGAAAGCCACGGCUAACUACGUG